GGGCACAGGAAAACAAAAACAUUACCAUUUCCAUGGCAACCACUGAGAUAAACAAUGCUUUAUGUCCCCUAAACAUUCUGUGAGUAGAUGGGACAUCAGCUAGUGGUAAAUAUGAAGAAAAUGACUUAAAGCCAGGAUGAUCACCAUAGCAACAAGCAAGAGAAAAAGCUGUGAUCGAACCCUGGGAGUGACCUUCAUUUAUUCCAUCUGUGAUGACACUGAAUACAUCCUGUCCAUCACCAUCCAAAAUGCUGUACCACAUCUCAGCAUUCUCCCCUGCAUCUGCAUCGUUGGCUUUUAUCCGACCAACAGAAGAUCCCACUUCCGCUGACUCGACCGUGGAGAGAUGGUACGCACCUUGGGAAGAACAAGGGAAUGGCUACGCAUCACAAUCAUAUUCACAAAGGACACAAUUACAUGAUCAAAGCCUCAUCAGAUGACUGACAUUUGACACAAAGGUCUAGUAGUGACAUCUGAAGACAUGACAUUAUUCUGCAUAAUCUGAAUAUGACACGUAGAAAACCAAUGUAUGCAUCUACAACAACAACGUUGGUGCACAAAUGUAUGUAAUUUUUGAACACAAUGUGGCAAAUGUCCCUCAGCUUGUAAUCAUUUUAUGUAUUGUUUUGUACUGGUUGGUAAUCAAGUGCAUAUAGAUCUCAAUGGCUGACUCUAAUGCAUAUAUGAUCUAAAUAAUUGACUGUCUCAGGAUAUUAGAUAGAAUAAUAGAAGUACCAACCAUUCAAUUAAAGCACGUUACUAUUUUUCUGCAAAUGUACUGAUAUAUCUGUAUUGGUGCAAGAAAAGGGUUCAAGGACAAAACAUAAUUUGCAGGGGUCAACAGGAUGCAACCGAUGGUCUUUAACUGAGUUACAUCUAUGGUAUUUUGUGCAAACCACUAAACCCUUAGAGUUGUUUGACUGUGAGUGGUUAGCAUAAAUAAUCACUGUAUUUAAGCCUGGAGGGAAAAGAACCACAGGAUACUGCAAUUUAUUUGUGUUUUAACCACCAUAAUGUGUUAUUCUAAACUAAUUAAAUAUGAUUUUGUGGCAGUGAAUAAACAAUUGGUAUUAAAUAUCAUCCACCACCA